GUUGGUGAGAUUACGCUAAUGUAGAAGAAUAUAUAUUUUUAAGAGUAAUAUUUCAAUACACUAUAUAAAUCUUGACUAUUUAUUUUUCUUAAUAGAUGGUUUAGAUUUAAUAUGAUUUUAGAGGUGACCUGCUAUUGAAGCAUAGGUACCAUUCACCAGGUAUCUAUUUAAAGGGUAUUUUAGUCUUUGUAAAAUAGUUUGG
rnacentral:lncRNA from 1 species